ensembl:lincRNA
CCAGAGCAAGGCAGGGGGCCUGGCCGGCUCGGGGCCGCGGGGUCCUAGCGCGACGCCGCUGCUGGGGGCGGGAAGCGAGGAGGCCCGGGAGAGCGGAGGAGCCAAGGUGUCUCCAGCGGAGGUUUCCACAGCGGUUGCGGGAAUGUGGUGGGGAGGGUCCGUGAGGCGAGUUCAGGAGGAGCAGCCUCCCAGAGACAUCCCAGUGCAGGCCUCUUAGCAAGUCCCAGGCGGCCCACAGUCUAGACUCCUGUCCUGGCUUUACCUCCCAGCAUAGUCUGAAAUGUGCCUGCGCUCUGGUUGGACUGGCCUCAGUACUCCAUCUGCCUGCUGCCCCCAGGCCACCAUAUGCUGUAGAAGGCCUCUUAUAGUUACCCUGGCGUUGGGAGGGACUUGCUGCCAUCUCUCCAAGCCCACUGGUGAGCCCACUGAUGUUAAGGCUGCCUGCCUGAGUCUUGAUUGCAGACUUGAGCUCCUGAUUCUCCCGAAUGAGCCGCACCAGCUUCUUCAGUUCCUCAUUCUCCCGCACCAGCCUCUCUAUCUGAUGCCGAAGCCCCUCAUAAUUGGUGAGUAGAGACAUGCCCCAGGGCAGCAGGGAGGGUGCUGCCCACAGGAGGGCACUGCACCUGGAGGCUGCCCAGGGCCCCGGGCCUUGCCCGGGCUGGAAGAGGGUGCCAGAGUCUGCAAGGCUGGCCCAGCGGGCCCUGGGUAUUGUGAGGUCAGAGGUUGUACUCUCCUCCUGUCCUCUACUCUAACAGGCUCAGCUUUCCAUGCUGCCAGGCCUGUGAAUGGCUCUACCUUGACCUGGAAUGUCCUGACUCCUUCUUUUUGGUAGCUUCACUCUCAGGAUGCCUCCUCUGCAAAGCCUUCUUUCCCCCACUGCAAGCUAAUUGCUGCCUGCUGGGCUUCCCCAGCAGAUGUGUCCUGUAUCAUAGUACCUGCCCUGCUUCUGUGCUGUUAGCUCCUUAAUGCUGUAUUUACUGGCUUUAUGGUGUGAACAGGGAUUGUGCCACUCCUCUGGAGUCCCCAGCAUCCAGCAAAGGGCCCAGCUUAGUGUACGUAGAUAACCAAUGAAUGUAAAAUGAAAACUCAUCACUUGCCUUCCUGGGCAGAUGACCUUUCUUUAUGAUCUUGGGCAUGCCUGGAUUUAGCCCAUCAGCUUCUACCUGAGAAUGCUCUGCCUUGGAUGCCUGGACAUUGGCCCAUAGUUUCUUCUGUCCCCAGGUGCUCAGAACCCUACUCUGGAUGCUGGCCUAGGGGCUCCCUCAUCCAAGUACCUGGCUCCCUGCAGCUUGGUGUUUCCAUUUCUGGACUCUUAUCCCAAAUCCCUGGAGGUAAUUCCUCCACAUCUGACUCUCUACUUCCCAGCUCCUUGAAUUUUCCUGACUUUAGUUGUUUAAGAACCCAAGAUCCCUAAAUGCAGUGCACAUGCCUGUAAUCCCAGAGGCUCAGGAGGCUGAGGCAGGAGGAUCAUGAGUUUAAAGCCAGCUUCAGCAAUUUAGUGAGGCCUUAAGCAACUCAGUGAGACUCUGUCUCUAAAUAAAAUACAAAAAAGGGCUGGGAUGUGGCUCAGUGGUUAAGAGCCCCUCAGUUCAAUUGGUGCUACCCAACCCCCCAAAAAACAAAACAAAACCAAACAGUAUUACUUACCUGGUUUCAAGAACUCAGGACUCUGAGCCCUCCUUAUAGCUAUCCCUUCUCUUAGGACUAUCUACAGAGAGCUCCACAAAUCUGACCUUGGGAGUUGAGGGAGGGUGUGUCUUCAUGGUCUCCACUGGCUCUAUGGGUGUCUUUUGACAAACCUCUUCAUGGGACAGGAAGAGGUACAGGCACAGGCCAGUGAGCAGACUCCUGGAACGCCGUGGAAGUGAAGAAGCCGGAGAUGAAGCAGUGCUGCCAUCAGUGUGAGUUGAGCAUUCUACCUGAACCUCACAAUGGGGGGGCCUACCCCAUACUCUGACACUCCUGAGUGUAAUUCCAGCUGAGUCUCUCUGACCCCAGGCAUUCUUUUCCUUCUUUCUAACUUGAUAGAGUAUCUCUGGUCAUGAAAAUUGGCUUCUCCGUAGGCUGAUACAGUUUAUAAUGGUUUCAUGAGUGUCAGUUUGGGUAGGCUGUGUGCUCAGGUGUUUAGUCAAAUGCUAGUUUAGACAUGUUAUAAACGUGUUUUGCAGAUGUAAUUAACAUCUACAAAAUGUUAGCUUUAAGUAAAGGUUACUUUCAAUUGUAUGAGUGGACCUCAUCCAAUCAGUUGAAGGACUUAAAAGCAAAAGUUUUAAGCCCAGAAAUAAAGAGUUCUAUCUUGGGCUGGGGUUGUAGCUCAAUGGUGGAGCAAUUGCCUCAUGUGUGUGAGGUACUGGGUUCAAUCCUCAGCACCACAUUAAAAAAAACUCAAUAAAAACAAAGAUAUUGUGUCUAUCUACAACUAAAAAAAAGAGUUCUAUCUUGAGACGUUUCCAGUCUGCCCUACAGAUUUUGGACUUUCCAACCUCCACUAUUGUAUGUCAAUUAAAAUAAAUAUCCUAAAAUAAAAGGAUU